rnacentral:rRNA from 1 species
UACGGGGGGGGCUAGCGUUAUUCGGAAUCAUUGGGCGUAAAGGGCGCGUAGGCGGCGCGGUAAGUCAAAGGUGAAAUCCCUCGGCUCAACUGAGGAACUGCCUUUGAAACUGCCGUGCUUGAGUCCGGGAGGGGUAGCGGAAUUCCCAGUGUAGCGGUGAAAUGCGUAGAUAUUGGGAGGAACACCAGUGGCGAAGGCGGCUACCUGGACCGGUACUGACGCUGAUGCGCGAAAGCGUGGGAGCA